GCACUAAGGGAAGAGGACCAAUGACAGCAGAGGCGAAAGAGCGACAAUAGAGGAACAACGGUAGAAGAGCGACGGCAAUGGCAGAUGAGCGACGACGAUAGUGGCGCGACGACAAUGGCACGACAACAACACGUUGGCAGCAAGGAAUGAAGCGCAAUGACAACGACGACAAUAAGGAGUACAACAACUAUGAUAGCGGCAGAGGAACGACGGUGA
rnacentral:lncRNA from 1 species